rnacentral:rRNA from 1 species
UACGGAGGGUGCAAGCGUUAUCCGGAAUCACUGGGCUUAAAGGGCGCGUAGGCGGCUUAGUAAGUCAGUGGUGAAAGACUGUGGCUUAACCAUGGAAUUGCCAUUGAUACUGCUGAGCUUGAAUCAGGUUGAGGUUGGCGGAAUGUGACAUGUAGCGGUGAAAUGCUUAGAUAUGUCAUGGAACACCGAUUGCGAAGGCAGCUGACUGGACCUGUAUUGACGCUGAGGCACGAAAGCGUGGGGAGCGAACAGG